UGUAUGAUUACUAAAACAUUACUCAAAUGAGUAAUUUCUGCAAACAAGAUAUUUAGUACUAAAUUCUAUCCAAUUAUUCACUGUAAUUGCUCCCAGAUUACACGUUUCCAGCAACUCAUCCGUGAGCUUUCCAAUCCUUUCAUUACAGAACUAGACCCCAAUUUAAAGUUCAACCUUUAACCAACCUAAAAUUGAGUUAGCCUGCGAUUUAAAGGAAAUAAAAGUUUGAAGUAGUAAUCAAAGCUAUUUGGUCGACCAGCGGAAUUACUAUUGAAUCCUGAUUGAUAUCGAGAUUGGUAAGUACUAAAUCUACAGACGAAUUUUCAUGAACAAUAAGAGAUAAAUCAAAAUUGCCUAAGUCCAUGUGGAAAGAGGAGCUUUGAGAGGCUGAGGUAUAUUAUUUAUAUAGCUGAGUAGUAUUGCCAUUAGAACCACAACAUGAAUUAAUGGACAAAGUCUAGAGCAUGGUGCAAAUUGGAAACUUUUAUAUCCAAUCUUGGAGCUAAUGACAUGCCGAAGAAACGCGCUAGAGAUACUUUUCUGGACACAAUUGUAAAUAGACACUUAUUAAUGCAGAAUAAAUCAUCACGAUAAUAGUGAAAAAAAGCCACUAAGUCAGGCACAAUA